AACCCGAGGCCCGGCCUGGGGCGCGGCUGCUGGGCGCUAGGCCCGCGACGCUGAGGUGCGCGCGCCCCGGGCGGGAGGAGGGGCUGCACCGCCUGGCGAAUGGGAGGGGGACUGGCAGGCUCUCCCUUCCCAAGGGAGGUCGUCCUGUCGCCCUAGACUAAACCCAGGAAGGCUUUUAAAAGAAGCAGAGUCUCCGCGGGGGGAAGCUUGUUCCCUGAGAGGUGGCCGCAGACGAACCCACUGCUCAGUCUGGCAUCCCGAAGCCGCUCCGCUCCUGGCUCUCCCCGCUGUUCCUGCGCGCAGCGGGGGCAGUGCCCCCACACCCACGCGUGAUGGGAAGGCCGGCCUGGGGGUGGGAAGGCCCACCGAAAUAGAUGGUCCCCACACCUCACUGCUUCCUUGGAUGUGGCUAUUUUUUAUGCCAGUGUUCUCCUGCUCUGACCCUACUUGAACUUGACCGCAACCGGCCCCGCCUUGCAGGCCACCCUCCCGCAGCAGAAAACUGUGCGGAGCUCGCGCUGUCCUCGCCUCCGCUGACCCCACCUCCAUGUCCUCACAGACACUAUUUUUUCACAACACAGCUCAGAUCCCACCUUCUUCAUGAGGUUAUUCAACAAACACUAUUAAACUUGUAAGAUGUACCAGAUCCUGAGUUGGAGGCUGAGAGGAGGACAAGAAAACUGCUCCCGUAGCCUAGAGGGAGGGAGAGUCGCUUAAACCACCUGAUGCAGAAUGCUGAGUGCGGAGACCAGGAGGGUCCAUCUGAACCUCAGGGUCCUCUAGGAUACCCAGGACCUCGAGGGUUAAGGGAACAUCGGGUGGUGAUGGCCUCCAUGAUCCCCCAGAGAAAGGGUGUGACUUGAGUGCCUUCUUCCUCUGUGCUCCCCAGGGAGCAGCAGCAUCAGAGUGCUCCCAGGGUGCCAAAGGGACACACUGGACCAACUGGAGACCCUGGGCCCCCUGGAUUCACAGCUGACAAUGGAUUGAGGUGGGUAUAGAAGAAGUCAAGGAAAAGCCCCUGUCAUGAAGAGUUGGAUGGAGACAGGCACAGAGUGGCCGCAGGUCCAAGCAGAGUGAACAUGCGUCCAAACUGGCAGUGGCAGCCCCUAGAAGGGAGACACCAACAGCACCGAGAUCUGUGGUCUCCAGAGCUGACAUCUCCUGCACUUGCCACGUGCAGGCGCUGUGCGGGACCUCCUCUCCAUCCUGUGAGGGUCUCCCUGAACUCAGGGUCCCAAUGGAUUUCCUGGCCCCAAAGAGCCCCUGGGCACCCUGGGAAUGACAAGCUGCCGGGACACUCAGGCCAGAGAGGAAAGGUGGAGAGAACGGCUCCCAGACCCUGGAGUUAAGUCUGUCUGGCUCUCUUCUCUCAGUCACACACCCCUGCCUCUGGCUCGCAUGUCUGGAACAGGGUGUCCAUGGGGUUCAAGGGAAGGAUGUUCCUGGUCUGAGGGGCUUCCCAGGAGAGAGAGGCCUCCUAGGCACUGCUGGUUCCCCCCUAGGGAGUGAGGUGCAGCAGGAUCAAGGGACCCAUUGCCCCCCGCCAGGGUGCCCAGGCCCUCAGGAACCCCCUGGAUCAGCAGGAGAGACAGGGUGAAAAGGGCCCCAUUUGUCUGCCUGGCUGUGAUAGGGUGCAGAGUCCUGUGUGACUUCCUGGUCCUGCUGGGCCUCCAGGUGUGGCUGGAGAAGAUGGAGACCAAGAGGAGAACCCCAGAGAACCCGACCAAUCUUCUCUCCACAUGAGAGGGCUGAGGGCCCUCCUGGACCCCCUGGACUCACUGGUCCAUGGAACAGCCUGUAGCAGUGGGAGCAGAUUGGGAGCCCAGAGCUCAGGGACCCCAGGGACACUUUGGAGCCAGAGUGUGGGGAGCCAAAGGCAAUAAAGGUAGAACAGGAUUCAUGAAUCUAUAGGGACUACCUGGACCCAGUGGCACUGGUGUGAGUCAUCCCAGCCCCUGCCACUUCAGAGCAAUGAGUCUGAUCCUCUGCGUCCCUUUCCUCAGAUCAUAAACUCUUCGCCCCUGAGAAGCCCCUUCCCCUGGGAGGCCCCCACUGUCCCACUGCCAUAACCUUGGGAUGCUCAUCUGGGCCUCUGCCCCUGCAAUAACCCCACCUCCUGAAGCGAUGUCACCUAUUUCUCUUCCUCUUUCAGGGUCCACAAGAUCCCCUGGGAGGUGUUGGGGCCCUGGGUCCCCCUGGAGAGAAGGAGAGUCAGGAUCUCCAGGAAUCCAGGGUGAGCCGGGUGUCAGGGUCUUGGUUUUCCUGGAGACCCUGGCCCCCCAGGAGAAGGUGGCUCAUGACCAGGACAGUGUUAACGGUGACUAUGGCAAGGAUGGUGAGCCAGUACAGCCCGUGAGUGACCAAUGUCCCUGCCACCCCCACUGAGCUCCAGCCUUCAGCCCCUUACCCCUCUUUUCUGUGCCCUACUCCUGAGGGGUCCCUUAGCUGGAGGCCAACACUCACCCACCCCAAUUCCUCUCAUUCUGUGGAUCCUCUGGUCCCACUGGGGAGAAUGGACUACCUGGACCACAUGGAAAGCAGGGUCAGCUAAGAAUAGCCAUGACUCAAGGGUCAGCUAAGAAUAGUCAUGACUCAAGGGUCAUUUAGGACACAGGAAGAUACCAGAUGAGGAAACUCUCCCCAAGUCCUAAACUCAUUCACAAAUUAGAACACAUAGGUCCAGCCCAGGCACAGUGGCUGAAGCCUGGAAUCCUCCCGCUUCCUGCUUCGGGAGACCAAGGCAAGAGGAUCUCUCGAAGUGUGAGUUGGAGGCCAGCUUGGGCGACACAAUCAGGAAAAGCAAGUGGCCACCAGGUGGCGCCCAAGAACUGGGCCCGAGUUCCCUGGGAGGAAUCUGCACGCAGCCCUGGGAUGGCACAGGGAUGCCUCACGGGACACCUGGCCUCGUCCUGGUAGCCCCUUGCUUGCAUUUCCCGGCCCUGGGGUGUCCUCCCCGACUGCACAUGCAUGUAGAGACCAUUCCUCCUUCUCCAAAGAGGGAUUUGGAACAAUUCUCACAUGACCUGACGAGGGACAGUGGCUGUGCUCAGGGUCCCUCUUUUGUCCUCAGAGCAUGACCAGGCCUGUGGCUCUUGCUCAUUGCCCAAGAGCAUGGGAGGUUGCCCGUGGCAAGGCCCUGGAGGACCCUGCUGUGCUGCCUGGGACCAGGAGGCCCGGCUGCCUUCUCCCAGCACCUCUCCCAGUUAGGGUACUGUGCAGGAAAUGGGUGCAGAGGCCAUAGUGGUGGCUGCUCCUGGGGUCCCAGCAGCUCUAGCUGAGGCAGGAGGAACCAGGGAGCCCAGGAGGCUGAGGCCCCUGUCCUACUGCUCUGGUCGUGCUGCAGUCUCUGUCACCACCAACAACUGCAGUGAGGUGAGCCACUGGGCUGCAGGCUCUAGCCUCCAGCCUGUGACAGAUGCCUCCUCUUUCUGACUCCUCCUGUAGCAGGGCACGGAGAAGCUCUCGCUCAUCGCUGCCUCCUACCACUCCGAACAUGCUGCAGUCUCGUUGACCACGCUGCAGUCUUGGUGGCCACCACCAACUGCAGGGAGCCUGGCCAGGUGCCGCAAGUUGCAGCCUCCACCUCCUCCUCUAAGUCGGGCUUGGAGCAGCAGCGGGAGCAGUCACAGAAGAGGCUGGAAUGGUGGAAUGCACCCUCAGUAUGCAUUAUAUAUAGAGGUUUCGGCAAUGAGGGCCUGGACUUUGUGUUCUGAUUGGAUGGGGGAAACCUCUAGGCUUUAUCUUCAUGCCCUGAUUGGUUAUCCUAAGAGUUGCUCUCAUCCAGUCUUCUUUAUAAGUGGUCAUCUUUGUAAGUUCAUGCCCACUGGGAGUUACUGAAGUUGUGAAUGAUUACAUUUAAACUUAUCCUGUAAUUUUAGUCUGAUUUAUUAAUUCCACCUAUCUCCUUAAGCAAAUUAUUCUCUAUAGUGAUGACCCAAGCAAAUUCCUGUCCCAAGAUGGUAUCAAGAUGAUACCCAAGUUCCUCUCCAGAAUGGUAUCUGGAUAUAUGUGGAGGGAAAUAUUUUUUCUAGGCCUGUAUUAAAUAUGGCACUAAAGCUUAGUGGCUUAAAACAAUACACUGUUAUUAUCUCACAGCUUCUGUGAAUAAGUAGUUCAGGAGAGUGUAGCUGGGUGAUUCUUGCCAAGAGUCUCAUAAGGUUGCAGUCAAUCUGUUGGUGAGAAUUGUAGUUACUUGAAGACUUGGAGUUGAAGAAUUUAUAUCAAAGAUGGCUUACUUAUGGCAAUUGGAUGGAAGCCCCAGUUUCAGAAUGGCUGCUGGCAACAGGUCUUUUUACUUGCCACAUGGACCUCUCCAUAGGCUGACUGAAUGUCCUCCCAAUGUGUCAUCUGGCUUUCUCCAGUGCAAAAGAUCAAAGAAGAGAGUAUGAAGGAACCCGUAAUGCUCUUUAUAAUUUUGUCACAGACCGUCACUUCUGCCAUACUCUAUUGUUUAGAAGUUAGUCAUUAAGUCCAGCCCACACUCAAAAGAACGAGAAUUAACCUCCACCUUUGGAAGAGAGGCUAGUCAAAGCACUUGUGGACAUGUUUUGAAACCACAAAGGGGUAUGGCUGCCAGUCUCCAAGAUGGCCGCCAGUGAUUCUCAUCAGCUGUUAUUAAUACAUUUGUAUAGUCCCUUCCCACAAGAAAAAAGAGUUGAUCUGUUUAAUUAGUAUUAUUUUGUUGAAAUGACAGAGUCUGACUUGCAAGUUUAGGUCAUAAGAAGAAUUUUGACUUCUGCCUUAUUCUCUAUUGGAUCAAUAUCCCUAGGGGAAGCUAGAUGCAAUGUCAUGAAAUCAUUCAAACAGUCCCAUGGAACAAUCCAUCUAGCAAGGAACUGAUAUCUCCUAGCAAUAGCUGGCAUUAACUUACAAGUCGUAUGAGUGGGCCAUCUUAGAAUUGGAUUCUUCAGUCCAAAUCAAGUCUUCAGAUAACUGUAGCCCUGGCUGACAUCUUGAUUACAUCCUCAAGAGAGACCCUGAGCCAGAAUCACUCAGUUAAGCCACUGAGUUCUUUUUGCCAAAAACUUUUUUUUUACCAAGUUCUUUUUGCCACCAACUUUAUUGAGGUAUAAUUGACAAUUAAGAUUGUAUAUAUUUAAGGAAUACAACUUGAUGAUUUGAUAUACACAUACAUUGUGAAAUAAUCGUGAUAAUUAGGUUAACAUAUUCAUUACUUCACAUAAGUACCAUUUUCGUGUGUGUGUGUGUGUGUGUGUGUGUGUGUGUGUGUGUGUGUGGUGAGAACACAUGAGAUGUAUCCUCUUAGAAAAUUUCAAGUAUACAAUAUAUUAUUGUUAACUACAGUCAUAUUAUUGUAUACUAUGUCUCCAGAACUUAUUCACCUUGCGUAACUGAGAUGCUGUACCCUUGACCAAUGUCUCCCCCUUUUCUUCUCCCUCCAGCCCCUGGUAACUACCCUUCUACUUUCCAGUUCUAUACAUUUGACUCUUUUAGAUUCCACACAUAAGUCAAAUUUUUGACCCUUAGGAGCUGGGUGAAUAAUAAAUAUUUAUUGUUAUUUUCAGCCUUAUGAUUUUAAGUUAAUUUGUUAUGCAGUAAUAGAAGUUGCCACAUGAAGCUAUGACACUGGUUAACUCAUUUAUUCAGUAAACAUUUGCUAAGAGCAGACUAAGUGCCAGGAUCAAUUUUAUAAUUGGGGGUACAGGGUUAAGUCAAAAUGGCAGACUAGAAGCAGAUCAUGUGCACUGCUGUCAUGGAGAGGAAACAAAAUGGCUAGUGAACACUGAUCUUGCCAUGUGAUCCCCUAAGAAACCACAUCAGCAUCCAUGAAGGCAGCAAGGGGACACAGAGAGGAGAGAGGAGUGAAGCUGAGCAGCCCAUCUGUGAUCAGCAUGGAGCUAGAAGAAGCUCCCAAACAUAGGGAAAGAGUAAGUGAUUGAGAGCCCCUGGGGGAUUCACAGUCUUCACAGGGACCUGUGCAAGCCUUGGAACAGGAGAAUCUCUUUGACCCACUCCCUGCACCUCUAAGCCAAUGCAGAGAGCCACCCAGAGUUUUGUGGAGGCAACUCUCAAGUCCCUAGGGACUGCUGGAAGCCUUGGACCCUGGAACAGACCAGCACCAGUGCCAUAGCCCCAACAGAGGCUGCAGUCAUGGUACCCGAGGGCAGUAAGAUUGCUCCACCCCAAAUCACUAGACAAAGUUCAGCACCAGCCUCUGGCCCAAUGGUCCUGCUUCUGUUUUCACUUCACCAACAGGUUCAGCCUCCUGUUCCUCCAGGAAACACCCAAACAACAGGAUAGGCAACUUCACCCAAUCCCUGCCAGUUGUAGCCAGGCAGGCCAUACCUGCUAGAGCUUCCAGCCCCGUGGUACCACUUCUGUCUGAAUUCUGCUGACAAGCACAGUCUCUUGUUCUCCUAGGAAACACCUUAAUGGCAUGGUGAGUGACUCCACCCACUGCCACUGCUCAAGGCCAGCAGCCCACACCUGCUAGAGUUUCCAGCCCAACAGUCCUGCUUUUAUAUGAACUCUGCAGGUGGGGGCAACUCCAUGUUCCCCUGGGAAGCAGCUGGACAGCAGAUUAGGUGACCCCACUCAUCCCUGCAACUCCUAGCCAAGCAGUUCUUGCUGGCUUGGGUGGUGCCCAAGCAGUGGGGGAGUCCUCACUCUUGCAUCACUAAAAGAAGUGAGAUGCCCAAGUUCACAGGUCAGUGGAGGAGUGGGUUGUGCCUCCCUCUGUACAGCCAUUCCGGAAAGGAUAUGACCUGUUUGCCAACUGUGGCCCCUGCAUGAGGAAGCCCCAUGGACGAGAACACCUAAUAAAAGAAAUACAGGCAUGGAGUCAGUGAUCAGAGGGGGCUCUUCCAAGGCUUAGGGGUGGACAAGGUGAGGGGGUCAUCUCUACCCCACCCCCUAAAAAGCACUAUGCUAACUUGAGGAAAACACAAAAGAGCUGUGCAGCUGAGAAAAGCCUAUCUGCCUGUCCGCUGGCUAACACUUUUAAGUGCCACCUACUGGAUCACAGCAGAAAAUACAAUACAAAAAUAUUUUGCCAGUACACAGCACCUGUGAAAACUAAGGCAAAGAUUAAGCAACAAAUAAACAUUCUGUACAUACUCGUGACCCUCUGAAAACACCCUAAAAAGAAGCCAACUGACUGUACUCAACUUACAUCACAGUUAAAGGAACACUAACCCUUACACAUGAAAAAGAAUCGAUGCAAAAACUCUGGCAACUCAAAAAGCCAGUGUGCCCCCUUACCUACAAACAAACACACUAGUCCCCCAGAAAUGGUUCUUAGCCAGAUUGAGAUGACUGAAAUGAUGGAAAUAAAAUUCAAGAUCUGGAUGGCAAGGAAGAUCGAUGGGAUCAAAGAGAAAGUUGAAUCCAAGGAACCCAGUAAAACAAUCCAGGAGCUGAAGGAUUAAACAGCCAUUUUAAGAAAGAACCAGCUGGGUGUGAUGGCUCACGCCUGUAAUCCCAGCACUUUGGGAGGCCAAGGCGAGUGGACUACUUGAGGUUAGGAGUUUGAGACCAGCCUGGCCAACAUGAUGAAACCCUGUCUCUACUAAAAUACAAAAAUUAGCUGGGCGUGGUGGCACACAUCUGUAAUCUCAGCUACUUGGGAGGCUGAGGCAGGAGAAUCACUUGAACCCGGGAGGUGGAGGUUGCACAGGCUGGAGUGCAGUGGCACGAUCUCGGCUCACUGCAAGCUCUGCCUCCCAGGUUCCCACCAUUCUCCUGCCUCAGCCUCCCGAGUAGCUGGGACUACAGGUGCCCGCCACCACGCCCAGCAAAUUUUUUGUAUUUUUAGUAGAGACGGAGUUUCACCAUGUAAGCUAUGAUAGUCUCCAUCUCCCGACCUCGUGAUCCGCCUGCCUUGGCCUCCGAAAGUGCUGGGAUUACAGGUGUGAUGGCUCACGCCCAGCAUUUUUUUUUUUUUUUUUUGAGACAAAGUCUCGCUCUGUUGCCCAGGCUGGAGUGUAAUGGCACAAUCUCGGCUCACUGCAACCUCCCCCUCCCAGGUUCAAGCAAUUAUCCUGCCUCAGCCUCCUGAGUGGCUGGGAUUAUAGGCACCCACCACCAUGCCCAGCUAAUUGUUGUAAUUUUAGUAGAGAUGAGGUCUCACCAUCUUGGUUCGGCUGGUCUCAAACUCCUGACCUCAGGUGAUCCACCCACUUCAGCUUCCCAAAGUACUGGGAUUACAGGAGUGAGCCACCAUGCCCAGCCCCACAAAAAUUUUUAAAAAAGAAUUAAAAAGUGAAUAAAAUCUUUUGAGAAAUAUAGGACUAUGUAAAAAGACCAAACCUACAUUUCAUUGGCAUUCCCAAAAGAGAAGUAACUUGGAGAAUAUAUUUGAAGACAUAGUCCAUGAAAAAUUUCCCAAACUUGAUAGAGAGGGGAACAUACAAAUUCAAAAAAUACAGACAACCCUACAGAUACUACACAAGAUGACCAUCCCCAAGGCACAUAGUCAUCAGAUUCACCAAAGUCAAAGUAAAAGAAAGACAUCUUAAAGGCAGCUAGAGAGAAAGGUCAGGUCAUCUGUAAAGGGAACCCCAUCAGGCUAGCAGUAGACGUUGCAACAGAAACUUUACAAGACAGAGGAGAAUCAAGGUUUAUUUUCAGCAUUCUUAAAGAAAAUAAUUUCCAAGCAAGAAUAUUGUGUCCCACCAAACUAAGCUUCAUAAGUGAAGGAGAAAUAAAAUACUUUUCAGAUAAGCAAGUACUUAAAGGAGUGCUAAACAUGAAAACAAAGAACUGAAACAUGCUCCUUCAAAAACACACUCAAGGACAUAGCCUACAGAGAAUGUAAAGCCACCACACCACUAAGUCUACAAAAUAAACAGCCAACAACAUAAUGACAAGAUCAAAAUCUCAUAUAUCAAUACUAACCCAGAAUGUAAAUGGUCUAAAUGCCCGACUUAAAAGGGAUAGCAUGUCAAGUUGGACAAAAAGACAAGCCCCGAUAGUCUGCUGUCUUCAAGACACCCAUCUCUCGUGUGAAGAUACUCACACGUUCAAAGUAAAAGUAUAGAGUAGAUCUACCAAGCAAACAGAAAACAAAAAAGAGCAGGAGUCAUUAUUUUUAUAGCAGAUAAAACAGAUUUUAAACCAACAACAAUCAGGAAGGAUAAAGAAGAGCAGUACAUGAUGAUAAAAGGUUUAAUUCAACAAGAAGACCUGACCAUUCUAAACAUACACGUACCCAAUAUAGGAGCACCCAGAUUCAUAAAACAAAUUUUUCUUGACUAACAAAAAGACUUAGACAGUCACACAAUAAUAGUGGGGGACCUUAACACCCCACUGGCAGUGUUAGAUCAUCAAGGCUGAAAACUAACAAAGAAAAUCUGGGCUUAAACUCGACAUGUGACCAAUUGAACCUAAUAGAUAUCUACAGAG
rnacentral:lncRNA from 1 species